UACGUAGGGAGCGAGCGUUGUCCGGAUUUAUUGGGUGUAAAGGGUGUGUAGGCGGCUAUGCAAGUCAGGCGUGUAAUGCAGAGGCUUAACCUCUGAACUGCGUUUGAAACUGUUUAGCUUGAGUGGAGUAGAGGCAGAUGGAAUUUCCAGUGUAGCGGUGAAAUGCGUAGAUAUUGGAAGGAACACCAGUGGCGAAGGCGAUCUGCUGGGCCUUAACUGACGCUGAUGCACGAAAGCAUGGGGAGCAAAC
rnacentral:rRNA from 1 species